rnacentral:rRNA from 1 species
GACGAACGCUGGCGGCGUGCCUAACACAUGCAAGUCAACUUGACUGAAGGAGCAAUCUGACAGUAGAGUGGCGCAAGGGUGCGUAACGCGUAAGUAACUUGCCCCAAGGUAAGGAAUAACGUCGAGAAAUCGGCGCUAAUACCUCAUAAUGCAGCGGAUCCGCAUGGAUAUGUUGUUAAAAGGUUUACCGCCUUGGGAUAGGCUUGCGUCUGAUUAGCUAGUUGGUGUGGUAACGGCACACCAAGGCUACGAUCAGUAACUGGUCUGAGAGGAUGAUCAGUCACACUGGAACUGAGACACGGUCCAGACUCCUACGGGAGGCAGCAGUGAGGAAUAUUGGGCAAUGCUCGAAAGAGUGACCCAGCAACGCCGCGUGGAGGAUGAAGGUAUUCUAUAUCGUAAACUCCUGUGAGAGCAGACGAAAGACAGAUUAUUAAUCUGGAUGACUGUAUGCUCAG